rnacentral:rRNA from 1 species
UCUGAUGUGAAAGCCCCCGGCUCAACCGGGAGGGUCAUUGGAAACUGGGAAACUUGAGUGCAGAAGAGGAGAGUGGAAUUCCACGUGUAGCGGUGAAAUGCGUAGAGAUGUGGAGGAACACCAGUGGCGAGCGACUCUCUGGUCUGUACUGACGCUAGGAGCGAAAGCGUGGGGAGCGAACAGGUAUUAGAUACCCUGGUAGUCCACGCCGUAAACGAUGAGUGCUAAGUGUUAGGGGGUUUCCGCCCCUUAGUGCUGCAGCUAACGCAUUAAGCACUCCGCCGGGGAGUACGGUCGCAAGACUGAAACUCAAAGGAAUUGACGGGGGCCCGCACAAGCGGUGGAGCAUGUGGUUUAAUUCGAAGCAACGCGAAGAACCUUACCAGGUCUUGACAUCCUCUGACAACCCUGAGAUAGGGCUUUCCCUUCGGGGACAGAGUGACAGGUGGUGCAUGGUUGUCGUCAGCUCGUGUCGUGAGAUGUUGGGUUAAGUCCCGCAACGAGCGCAACCCUUGAUCUUAGUUGCCAGCAUUCAGUGGGCACUCUAAGGUGACUGCCGGUGACAAACCGGAGGAAGGUGGGGAUGACGUCAAAUCAUCAUGCCCCUUAUGACCUGGGCUACACACGUGCUACAAUGGACAGGAACAAAGGGCUGCAAGACCGC